AUCCAAGGUGAUUCCCUCUCCAAGGGGCCAGCUAGUGCCCCUCUCAGGAAAGUAGCAACUUGGAAUAAAAUCGGGCAUGCCCAGGGUCUUCCGGGGAGAAGGGGAUGUGUUUCCUUUUGCCUCCAUUUGGCUGCCUACAUAG
ensembl:snoRNA small nucleolar RNA SNORA67